ensembl:miRNA MIR15B microRNA 15b
UCUGGAAGCCUCAGAGUACUAUAGCAGCACAUCAUGAUUUGUGUUUCAUAAUAAAUAUGCAAGUCAUUAUUUGCUGCUUUAGAAUUUUAAGGAAGAAAA